rnacentral:lncRNA from 1 species
CGACGGACGACUCUGACAGACCACCUCGACGGACGACUCUGACGGACGACCCCGACGGUCGGCGCCGACAAUGACUGCCGACAAUGGCUACUGACAGUAUCCGGUCGAAGGUAUGCUGGCUGAACAGACCCAUACUGUUCCUGGCCAGCCUAGCGACCGAAUCCAAAUCACCGACUCACUGUCAGGGGUGGCAGCCGACGUCCGACUUCCACAAGGUACCA